rnacentral:rRNA from 1 species
UACGUAGGCAGCAAGCGUUGUUCGGAGUUACUGGGCGUAAAGGGUGUGUAGGCGGUUAUUUAAGUUUGGUGUGAAAUCUCCCGGCUCAACCGGGAGGGUGCGCCGAAUACUGAAUGACUUGGAGUGCGGGAGAGGAAAGUGGAAUUCCUGGUGUAGCGGUGAAAUGCGCAGAUAUCAGGAAGAACACCCGUGGCGAAGGCGGCUCUCUGGGACGGUACUGACGCUGAGACGCGAAAGCGUGGGGAGCGAACAGG